UCGGGAAUUUUGGGCAAUGGGCGAAAGCCUGACCCAGCAACGCCGCGUGAAGGAUGAAGUAUUUCGGUAUGUAAACUUCGAAAGAAUAGGAAGAAUAAAUGACGGUACUAUUUAUAAGGUCCGGCUAACUACGUGCCAGCAGCCGCGGUAAUACGUAGGUGGCAAGCGUUGUCCGGAUUUACUGGGCGUAAAGAGCCCGCAGGCGGUCCAAUAAGUUCUUGGUGAAAUCUCCUGGCUCAACUGGGAGGGUGCCUGGAAAACUGUUGGACUUGAGGCAGGGAGAGGGGUGUGGAAUUCCCGGUGUAGUGGUGAAAUGCGUAGAUAUCGGGAGGAACACCAGUGGCGAAGGCGGCAUCCUGGCCCUGUCCUGACGCUCAGGGCGAAAGCGUGGGGAGCAAACCGGAUUAGAUACCCCAGUAGUCCCUGAGCGGGCUGGCAAGGCGCAU
rnacentral:rRNA from 1 species